UACGGAGGGUGCAAGCGUUAUCCGGAUUUAUUGGGUUUAAAGGGUGCGCAGGCGGAAUUUUAAGUCAGUGGUGAAAGCCCGAGGCUCAACCUCGGAACUGCCAUUGAUACUGAAAUUCUUGAGUGUGGUUGGUGUGAGCGGAAUGUGCCAUGUAGCGGUGAAAUGCUUAGAUAUGGCACAGAACACCGAUCGUGAAGACAGCUCACAAAACCAUUACUGACGCUCAGGCACGAAAGCGUGGGGAUCAAACAGG
rnacentral:rRNA from 1 species